rnacentral:rRNA from 1 species
GACGAACGCUGGCGGCGUGCUUAACACAUGCAAGUCGAACGGAAAGGCCCUGCUUUUGUGGGGUGCUCGAGUGGCGAACGGGUGAGUAACACGUGAGUAACCUGCCCUUGACUUUGGGAUAACUUCAGGAAACUGGGGCUAAUACCGGAUAGGAGCUCCUGCUGCAUGGUGGGGGUUGGAAAGUUUCGGCGGUUGGGGAUGGACUCGCGGCUUAUCAGCUUGUUGGUGGGGUAGUGGCUUACCAAGGCUUUGACGGGUAGCCGGCCUGAGAGGGUGACCGGCCACAUUGGGACUGAGAUACGGCCCAGACUCCUACGGGAGGCAGCAGUGGGGAAUAUUGAACAAUGGGCGGAAGCCUGAUGCAGCAACGCCGAGUGCGGGAUGAAGGCCUUCGGGUUGUAAACCGAUUUCGCCUGUGACGAAGCGUGAGUGACGGUAAUGGGUAAAGAAGCACCGGCUAACUACGUG